rnacentral:tRNA from 1 species
UUCCUGGUGGUCUGGUGGUUAAGAGACUUUGCGCUUCCAAUGCAAGGGGUGUGGGUUCCAACCCCAGUUGGGGAA